rnacentral:rRNA from 1 species
GGGUUGUGAGGUUAAGCGACUAAGCGUACACGGUGGAUGCCCUGGCAGUCAGAGGCGAUGAAGGGCGUGCUAAUCUGCGAUAAGCGCCGGUAAGGUGAUAUGAACCGUUAUAACCGGCGAUACCCGAAUGGGGAAACCCAGUGUGAUUCGUCACACUAUCAUUAACUGAAUCCAUAGGUUAAUGAGGCGAACCGGGGGAACUGAAACAUCUAAGUACCCCGAGGAAAAGAAAUCAACCGAGAUUCCCCCAGUAGCGGCGAGCGAACGGGGAGGAGCCCAGAGCCUGAAUCAGCAUGUGUGUUAGUGGAAGCGUCUGGAAAGGCGCGCGAUACAGGGUGACAGCCCCGUACACAAAAGCGCAUGUGCUGUGAGCUCGAUGAGUAGGGCGGGACACGUGGUAUCCUGUCUGAAUAUGGGGGGACCAUCCUCCAAGGCUAAAUACUCCUGACUGACCGAUAGUGAACCAGUACCGUGAGGGAAAGGCGAAAAGAACCCCGGCGAGGGGAGUGAAAAAGAACCUGAAACCGUGUACGUACAAGCAGUGGGAGCACAGGUUUACCUGUGUGACUGCGUACCUUUUGUAUAAUGGGUCAGCGACUUAUAUUCUGUAGCAAGGUUAACCGUAUAGGGGAGCCGCAGGGAAACCGAGUCUUAAUUGGGCGUUAAGUUGCAGGGUAUAGACCCGAAACCCGGUGAUCUAGCCAUGGGCAGGUUGAAGGUGGGUAACACUAACUGGAGGACCGAACCGACUAAUGUUUGAAAAAAUUAGCGGAUGACCUGUGGCUGGGGGUGAAAGGCCAAUCAAACCGGGAGAUAGCUGGUUCUCCCCGAAAGCUAUUUAGGUAGCGCCUCGUGAACUCAUCUCCGGGGGUAGAGCACUGUUUCGGCUAGGGGGCCAUCCCGGCUUACCAACCCGAUGCAAACUGCGAAUACCGGAGAAUGUUAUCACGGGAGACACACGGCGGGUGCUAACGUCCGUCGUGAAGAGGGAAACAACCCAGACCGCCAGCUAAGGUCCCAAAGUCAUGGUUAAGUGGGAAACGAUGUGGGAAGGCCCAGACAGCCAGGAUGUUGGCUUAGAAGCAGCCAUCAUUUAAAGAAAGCGUAAUAGCUCACUGGUCGAGUCGGCCUGCGCGGAAGAUGUAACGGGGCUAAACCAUGCACCGAAGCUGCGGCAGCGAACGUAUCACUUAAAGCGAUUCAGCGGGUUACGAUUGACGGAGCGAAGCGACGUCAAAGCGUAUACAAAGUCGAGUCGGUUUAAGGAUACGUUCGUUGGGUAGGGGAGCGUUCUGUAAGCCUGUGAAGGUGGCCUGUGAGGGUUGCUGGAGGUAUCAGAAGUGCGAAUGCUGACAUAAGUAACGAUAAAGCGGGUGAAAAGCCCGCUCGCCGGAAGACCAAGGGUUCCUGUCCAACGUUAAUCGGGGCAGGGUGAGUCGACCCCUAAGGCGAGGCCGAAAGGCGUAGUCGAUGGGAAACGGGUUAAUAUUCCCGUACUUGGUGUUACUGCGAAGGGGGGACGGAGAAGGCUAUGUUGGCCGGGCGACGGUUGUCCCGGUUUAAGCGUGUAGGUGUGUGUUCCAGGUAAAUCCGGUUCACUUUAACACUGAGGCGUGAUGACGAGGCACUACGGUGCUGAAGCAACAAAUGCCCUGCUUCCAGGAAAAGCCUCUAAGCAUCAGGUAACAUCAAAUCGUACCCCAAACCGACACAGGUGGUCAGGUAGAGAAUACCAAGGCGCUUGAGAGAACUCGGGUGAAGGAACUAGGCAAAAUGGUGCCGUAACUUCGGGAGAAGGCACGCUGACAUGUAGGUGAAGUGAUUUACUCAUGGAGCUGAAGUCAGUCGAAGAUACCAGCUGGCUGCAACUGUUUAUUAAAAACACAGCACUGUGCAAACACGAAAGUGGACGUAUACGGUGUGACGCCUGCCCGGUGCCGGAAGGUUAAUUGAUGGGGUCAGCGCAAGCGAAGCUCCUGAUCGAAGCCCCGGUAAACGGCGGCCGUAACUAUAACGGUCCUAAGGUAGCGAAAUUCCUUGUCGGGUAAGUUCCGACCUGCACGAAUGGCGUAAUGAUGGCCAGGCUGUCUCCACCCGAGACUCAGUGAAAUUGAACUCGCUGUGAAGAUGCAGUGUACCCGCGGCAAGACGGAAAGACCCCGUGAACCUUUACUAUAGCUUGACACUGAACAUUGAGCCUUGAUGUGUAGGAUAGGUGGGAGGCUUUGAAGCGUGGACGCCAGUCUGCGUGGAGCCGGCCUUGAAAUACCACCCUUUAAUGUUUGAUGUUCUAACGUGGACCCGUGAUCCGGGUUGCGGACAGUGUCUGGUGGGUAGUUUGACUGGGGCGGUCUCCUCCUAAAGAGUAACGGAGGAGCACGAAGGUUGGCUAAUCCUGGUCGGACAUCAGGAGGUUAGUGCAAUGGCAUAAGCCAGCUUGACUGCGAGCGUGACGGCGCGAGCAGGUGCGAAAGCAGGUCAUAGUGAUCCGGUGGUUCUGAAUGGAAGGGCCAUCGCUCAACGGAUAAAAGGUACUCCGGGGAUAACAGGCUGAUACCGCCCAAGAGUUCAUAUCGACGGCGGUGUUUGGCACCUCGAUGUCGGCUCAUCACAUCCUGGGGCUGAAGUAGGUCCCAAGGGUAUGGCUGUUCGCCAUUUAAAGUGGUACGCGAGCUGGGUUUAGAACGUCGUGAGACAGUUCGGUCCCUAUCUACCGUGGGCGCUGGAGAACUGAGGGGGGCUGCUCCUAGUACGAGAGGACCGGAGUGGACGCAUCACUGGUGUUCGGGUUGUCAUGCCAAUGGCACUGCCCGGUAGCUAAAUGCGGAAGAGAUAAGUGCUGAAAGCAUCUAAGCACGAAACUUGCCCCGAGAUGAGUUCUCCCUGAGACUUAAAGUCUCCUGAAGGAACGUUGAAGACGACGACGUUGAUAGGCCGGGUGUGUAAGCGCAGCGAUGCGUUGAGCUAACCGGUACUAAUGAACCGUGAGGCUUAACCUUACAACGCCGAAG